rnacentral:rRNA from 1 species
GACGAACGCUGGCGGCGUGCCUAAUACAUGCAAGUCGAGCGAGCGGAACCAACAGAUUUACUUCGGUAAUGACGUUGGGAAAGCGAGCGGCGGAUGGGUGAGUAACACGUGGGGAACCUGCCCCUAAGUCUGGGAUACCAUUUGGAAACAGGUGCUAAUACCGGAUAAUAAAGCAGAUCGCAUGAUCAGCUUUUGAAAGGCGGCGUAAGCUGUCGCUAAGGGAUGGCCCCGCGGUGCAUUAGCUAGUUGGUAAGGUAACGGCUUACCAAGGCGACGAUGCAUAGCCGAGUUGAGAGACUGAUCGGCCACAUUGGGACUGAGACACGGCCCAAACUCCUACGGGAGGCAGCAGUAGGGAAUCUUCCACAAUGGACGCAAGUCUGAUGGAGCAACGCCGCGUGAGUGAAGAAGGUUUUCGGAUCGUAAAGCUCUGUUGUUGGUGAAGAAGGAUAGAGGUAGUAACUGGCCUUUAUUGACGGUAAUCAACCAGAAAGUCACGG